rnacentral:rRNA from 3 species
GGCCGCAAGGUUAAAACUCAAAUGAAUUGACGGGGGCCCGCACAAGCGGUGGAGCAUGUGGUUUAAUUCGAUGCAACGCGAAGAACCUUACCUGGUCUUGACAUCCACAGAACUUUCCAGAGAUGGAUUGGUGCCUUCGGGAACUGUGAGACAGGUGCUGCAUGGCUGUCGUCAGCUCGUGUUGUGAAAUGUUGGGUUAAGUCCCGCAACGAGCGCAACCCUUAUCCUUUGUUGCCAGCGGUCCGGCCGGGAACUCA